rnacentral:lncRNA from 1 species
UACAUCCGUAUUGUGUCUCAACCUUAUAAAUCUUAUGACUACUCACAUAGAUUAUCUUGACCAAGGUUUUACUAAAUUGAAAUACAUCGAAGCAUUAUCUUCAAUAUCUUGAAGCAGUCAAUUCCAUCUUGACUCAUACACAGACUUUGCAAGUACUUGACUGUAUUCAAAAAUCUUCUAUUACUAUAUUAGAAGUAUAAAAAAUCUGACAUCAAAGUAUAGUGAAUUGCUUGUAAGUCAUCAUGGUGAUCUCAGAUCGAAGGGAUAUUUAUACCCAUAUCCUUCACGAGCUACCCUUAACAGUAGAGUGCCCUGCAGUU